UACGGAGGGGGCUAGCGUUGUUCGGAAUUACUGGGCGUAAAGCGCACGUAGGCGGCUUUGUAAGUUAGAGGUGAAAGCCCGGGGCUCAACUCCGGAAUUGGCCUUUAAGACUGCAUCGCUAGAAUUGUGGAGAGGUAAGUGGAAUUCCGAGUGUAGAGGUGAAAUUCGUAGAUAUUCGGAAGAACACCAGUGGCGAAGGCGACUUACUGGACACAUAUUGACGCUGAGGUGCGAAAGCGUGGGGAGCAAACAGG
rnacentral:rRNA from 1 species